rnacentral:rRNA from 1 species
AGACCCGAAACCCGGUGAUCUAGCCAUGGGCAGGUUGAAGGUUGGGUAACACUAACUGGAGGACCGAACCGACUAAUGUUGAAAAAUUAGCGGAUGACCUGUGGCUGGGGGUGAAAGGCCAAUCAAACCGGGAGAUAGCUGGUUCUCCCCGAAAGCUAUUUAGGUAGCGCCUCGUGAAUUCAUCUCCGGGGGUAGAGCACUGUUUCGGCUAGGGGGCCAUCCCGGCUUACCAACCCGAUGCAAACUGCGAAUACCGGAGAAUGUUAUCACGGGAGACACACGGCGGGUGCUAACGUCCGUCGUGAAGAGGGAAACAACCCAGACCGCCAGCUAAGGUCCCAAAGUCAUGGUUAAGUGGGAAACGAUGUGGGAAGGCCCAGACAGCCAGGAUGUUGGCUUAGAAGCAGCCAUCAUUUAAAGAAAGCGUAAUAGCUCACUGGUCGAGUCGGCCUGCGCGGAAGAUGUAACGGGGCUAAACCAUGCACCGAAGCUGCGGCAGCGAACGUAUCACUUAAAGCGAUUCAGCGGGUUACGAUUGACGGAGCGAAGCGACGUCAAAGCGUAUACAAAGUCGAGUCGGUUUAAGGAUACGUUCGUUGGGUAGGGGAGCGUUCUGUAAGCCUGUGAAGGUGGCCUGUGAGGGUUGCUGGAGGUAUCAGAAGUGCGAAUGCUGACAUAAGUAACGAUAAAGCGGGUGAAAAGCCCGCUCGCCGGAAGACCAAGGGUUCCUGUCCAACGUUAAUCGGGGCAGGGUGAGUCGACCCCUAAGGCGAGGCCGAAAGGCGUAGUCGAUGGGAAACAGGUUAAUAUUCCUGUACUUGGUGUUACUGCGAAGGGGGGACGGAGAAGGCUAUGUUGGCCGGGCGACGGUUGUCCCGGUUUAAGCGUGUAGGUGUGUGUUCCAGGUAAAUCCGGUUCACUUUAACACUGAGGCGUGAUGACGAGGCACUACGGUGCUGAAGCAACAAAUGCCCUGCUUCCAGGAAAAGCCUCUAAGCAUCAGGUAACAUCAAAUCGUACCCCAAACCGACACAGGUGGUCAGGUAGAGAAUACCAAGGCGCUUGAGAGAACUCGGGUGAAGGAACUAGGCAAAAUGGUGCCGUAACUUCGGGAGAAGGCACGCUGACACGUAGGUGAAGUGAUUUACUCAUGGAGCUGAAGUCAGUCGAAGAUACCAGCUGGCUGCAACUGUUUAUUAAAAACACAGCACUGUGCAAACACGAAAGUGGACGUAUACGGUGUGACGCCUGCCCGGUGCCGGAAGGUUAAUUGAUGGGGUCAGCGCAAGCGAAGCUCCUGAUCGAAGCCCCGGUAAACGGCGGCCGUAACUAUAACGGUCCUAAGGUAGCGAAAUUCCUUGUCGGGUAAGUUCCGACCUGCACGAAUGGCGUAAUGAUGGCCAGGCUGUCUCCACCCGAGACUCAGUGAAAUUGAACUCGCUGUGAAGAUGCAGUGUACCCGCGGCAAGACGGAAAGACCCCGUGAACCUUUACUAUAGCUUGACACUGAACAUUGAGCCUUGAUGUGUAGGAUAGGUGGGAGGCUUUGAAGCGUGGACGCCAGUCUGC